UACGAAGGGGGCUAGCGUUGCUCGGAAUCACUGGGCGUAAAGGGUGCGUAGGCGGGUCUUAAGUCAGGGGUGAAAUCCUGGAGCUCAACUCCAGAACUGCCUUUGAUACUGAGGAUCUUGAGUACGGGAGAGGUGAGUGGAACUGCGAGUGUAGAGGUGAAAUUCGUAGAUAUUCGCAAGAACACCAGUGGCGAAGGCGGCUCACUGGCCCGGUACUGACGCUGAGGUGCGAAAGCGUGGGGAGCAA
rnacentral:rRNA from 1 species